rnacentral:rRNA from 1 species
GAUGAACGCUAGCGGCAGGCCUAAUACAUGCAAGUCGAACGGUGUCUUCGGACAUAGUGGCGCACGGGUGCGUAACACGUAUGCAACCUACCUUAUAUUGGGGGAUAGCCUUUCGAAAGGGAGAUUAAUAACGCAUAAGACAGUAGCUGGGCAUCCAGUAGCUGCUAAAGAUUUAUCGAUGUAAGCUGGGCAUGCGUCCAAUUAGUGAGUCGGUGAGGUAACGGCUAACCAAGACGAGGAUUGGUAGGGGAACUGAGAGGUCAAUCCCCCACACGGGCACUGAGAGACGGGCCAGACUCCUACGGGAGGCAGCAGUAGGGAAUAGUGGGCAAUGGACGCAAGGCGGACCCAGCCAUGCCGCGUGCAGGAAGAAGGCGCUCUGCGUUGUAAACUGCUUUUAUAUAGGAAGAAACGACCCUUGCGAGGGGCAUUGACGGUAUUAUAUGAAUAAGCACCGGCUAACUCCGUGCCAGCCGCCGCGGUAAAAC